UGGGGAAUAUUGCACAAUGGGCGCAAGCCUGAUGCAGCCAUGCCGCGUGUGUGAAGAAGGCCUUCGGGUUGUAAAGCACUUUCAGCGGGGAGGAAGGCGAUAAGGUUAAUAACCUCAUCGAUUGACGUUACCCGCAGAAGAAGCACCGGCUAACUCCGUGCCAGCAGCCGCGGUAAUACGGAGGGUGCAAGCGUUAAUCGGAAUUACUGGGCGUAAAGCGCACGCAGGCGGUCUGUCAAGUCGGAUGUGAAAUCCCCGGGCUCAACCUGGGAACUGCAUUCGAAACUGGCAGGCUAGAGUCUUGUAGAGGGAGGUAGAAUUCCAGGUGUAGCGGUGAAAUGCGUAGAGAUCUGGAGGAAUACCGGUGGCGAAGGCGGCCCCCUGGACAAAGACUGACGCUCAGGUGCGAAAGCGUGGGGAGCAAACAGG
rnacentral:rRNA from 1 species